CUUUACUGUAGCCUGGUAUUGGGUUCGGGCUUUGACUGCGCAGGAUAGGUGGGAGACUAUGAAGCUGCCCUUGUGGGGGCAGUGGAGUCAUCAGUGAGAUACCACUCUGUCAAGGCUAGAAUUCUAACCGUCUGCCGUUAUCCGGCGACGGAACAGUAUCAGGUGGGCAGUUUGACUGGGGCGGUCGCCUCCUAAAUGGUAACGGAGGCGCGCAAAGGUUCCCUCAGGCUGGUUGGAAAUCAGCCGAAGAGUGUGAAGGCAGAAGGGAGCUUGACUGCAAGAGCAACAACUCAAGCAGGGACGAAAGUCGGCCUUAGUGAUCCGACGGCGCUGAGUGGAAGGGCCGUCGCUCAACGGAUAAAAGUUA
rnacentral:rRNA from 1 species